rfam:Oryctes borbonicus contig24591, whole genome shotgun sequence.
UGAUCGGUUCUUUUUAGAGCCAACAAAUGUUUCUAAAGAGAAAAAU